UCUGUCCCUAGAGGUGUGGAUGUGGCAGCUCUGACACAUCUCUGUAAGUAGGAAGCAAAGAGGAGAAUGACCAUGUCUACCUCAGUGUUCUGCCCUAUGGAUAUCUAAAGGAAUAGCAGCCUAACAUU